UACAGAGACUGCAAGCGUUAUUCGGAUUCACUGGGCGUAAAGGGCGCGCAGGCGGCCAAGUGUGUGAGGCGUGAAAGCCCGGGGCUUAACCCCGGAAUUGCACCUCAAACUACAUGGCUAGAGCAUUGGAGAGGGUAGCGGAAUUCACGGUGUAGCAGUGAAAUGCGUAGAUAUCGUGAGGAACACCAGAGGCGAAGGCGGCUACCUGGACAAUUGCUGACGCUCAGGCACGAAAGCGUGGGGAGCAAAAGGG
rnacentral:rRNA from 1 species